rnacentral:lncRNA from 1 species
GAAUUCUGUCUUACCAUAAAACCUGAAGAUACAGGAAAAGAAAGUAAAUUAAUAAUUAAUUACUUCUAUGCUUGCACCAGGUCACCCGCUAAGUAAAUACGAGUUGAAAACUUCCAUCAACAAACAUCAUCUGAUCAAAUGGAUAGAUAUUCGGUAUUUUUAAUUCCCAGAUAACAAAAAAAUACCUUCUAGAACCUAGAUCCCUCAGAAAUAGAUAUGAUAAAAUACCCACAGGCUAGAGAUGUGGUUGCUUAAAUGAUCAACGAACUGAAAGGAAAGGUUAAUAUU